rfam:Flavobacterium sp. LPB0076 LPBF24, whole genome shotgun sequence.
UUUUAGCCCAGAUAGCAGUGAAAAUCCUUUUUUAUCCUGAUUUUUUUCAGGAUAAAAAAGAUUGUAACGUAUAGCUGGAAAUAGC